GGCGAGAUGGCCGAGCGGUCUAAGGCGCCAGACUAAGGUCAAGCGACCAGCAUUCAUUGGGUGCUCAGUUGCGUAGCUUACGUAAUCUGGUCCGACAGGGCGUGGGUUCGAAUCCCACUCUCGUCA